rnacentral:rRNA from 1 species
CAGGCUUAACACAUGCAAGUCGAGGGGCAGCAUGGUCUUAGCUUGCUAAGGCCGAUGGCGACCGGCGCACGGGUGAGUAACACGUAUCCAACCUGCCGUCUACUCUUGGACAGCCUUCUGAAAGGAAGAUUAAUACAAGAUGGCAUCAUGAGUCCGCAUGUUCACAUGAUUAAAGGUAUUCCGGUAGACGAUGGGGAUGCGUUCCAUUAGAUAGUAGGCGGGGUAACGGCCCACCUAGUCUUCGAUGGAUAGGGGUUCUGAGAGGAAGGUCCCCCACAUUGGAACUGAGACACGGUCCAAACUCCUACGGGAGGCAGCAGUGAGGAAUAUUGGUCAAUGGGCGCAGGCCUGAACCAGCCAAGUAGCGUGAAGGAUGACUGCCCUAUGGGUUGUAAACUUCUUUUAUAAAGGAAUAAAGUCGGGUAUGGAUACCCGUUUGCAUGUACUUUAUGAAUAAGGAUCGGCUAACUCCGUGCCAGCAGCCGCGGUAAUACGGAGGAUCCGAGCGUUAUCCGGAUUUAUUGGGUUUAAAGGGAGCGUAGAUGGAUGUUUAAGUCAGUUGUGAAAGUUUGCAGCUCAACCGUAAAAUUGCAGUUGAUACUGGAUAUCUUGAGUGCAGUUGAGGCAGGCGGAAUUCGUGGUGUAGCGGUGAAAUGCUUAGAUAUCACGAAGAACUCCGAUUGCGAAGGCAGCCUGCUAAGCUGCAACUGACAUUGAGGCUCGAAAGUGUGGGUAUCAAACAGGAUUAGAUACCCUGGUAGUCCACACGGUAAACGAUGAAUACUCGCUGUUUGCGAUAUACAGCAAGCGGCCAAGCGAAAGCGUUAAGUAUUCCACCUGGGGAGUACGCCGGCAACGGUGAAACUCAAAGGAAUUGACGGGGGCCCGCACAAGCGGAGGAACAUGUGGUUUAAUUCGAUGAUACGCGAGGAACCUUACCCGGGCUUAAAUUGCAGAUGAAUUACGGUGAAAGCCGUAAGCCGCAAGGCAUCUGUGAAGGUGCUGCAUGGUUGUCGUCAGCUCGUGCCGUGAGGUGUCGGCUUAAGUGCCAUAACGAGCGCAACCCUUGUUGUCAGUUACUAACAGGUUCCGCUGAGGACUCUGACAAGACUGCCAUCGUAAGAUGUGAGGAAGGUGGGGAUGACGUCAAAUCAGCACGGCCCUUACGUCCGGGGCUACACACGUGUUACAAUGGGGGGUACAGAGGGCCGCUACCACGCGAGUGGAUGCCAAUCCCCAAAACCUCUCUCAGUUCGGACUGGAGUCUGCAACCCGACUCCACGAAGCUGGAUUCGCUAGUAAUCGCGCAUCAGCCACGGCGCGGUGAAUACGUUCCCGGGCCUUGUACACACCGCCCGUCAAGCCAUGGGAGCCGGGGGUACCUGAAGUGCGUAACCGCGAGGAGCGCCCUAGGGUAAAACUGGUGACUGGGGC